rnacentral:rRNA from 1 species
GAACGCUGGCGGCGUGCCUAAUACAUGCAAGUCGAACGAGUUCUGAUUAUUGAAAGGUGCUUGCAUCUUGAUUUAAUUUUGAACGAGUGGCGGACGGGUGAGUAACACGUGGGUAACCUGCCCUUAAGUGGGGGAUAACAUUUGGAAACAGAUGCUAAUACCGCAUAAAUCCAAGAACCGCAUGGUUCUUGGCUGAAAGAUGGCGUAAGCUAUCGCUUUUGGAUGGACCCGCGGCGUAUUAGCUAGUUGGUGAGGUAACGGCCCACCAAGGCAAUGAUACGUAGCCGAACUGAGAGGUUGAUCGGCCACAUUGGGACUGAGACACGGCCCAAACUCCUACGGGAGGCAGCAGUAGGGAAUCUUCCACAAUGGACGCAAGUCUGAUGGAGCAACGCCGCGUGAGUGAAGAAGGCUUUCGGGUCGUAAAACUCUGUUGUUGGAGAAGAAUGGUCGGCAGAGUAACUGUUGUCGGCGUGACGGUAUCCAACCAGAAAGCCACGGCUAACUACGUGCCAGCAGCCGCGGUAAUACGUAGGUGGCAAGCGUUAUCCGGAUUUAUUGGGCGUAAAGCGAGCGCAGGCGGUUUUUUAAGUCUGAUGUGAAAGCCCUCGGCUUAACCGAGGAAGUGCAUCGGAAACUGGGAAACUUGAGUGCAGAAGAGGACAGUGGAACUCCAUGUGUAGCGGUGAAAUGCGUAGAUAUAUGGAAGAACACCAGUGGCGAAGGCGGCUGUCUGGUCUGUAACUGACGCUGAGGCUCGAAAGCAUGGGGUAGCGAACAGGAUUAGAUACCCUGGUAGUCCAUGCCGUAAACGAUGAAUGCUAGGUGUUGGAGGGUUUCCGCCCUUCAGUGCCGCAGCUAACGCAUUAAGCAUUCCGCCUGGGGAGUACGACCGCAAGGUUGAAACUCAAAGGAAUUGACGGGGGCCCGCACAAGCGGUGGAGCAUGUGGUUUAAUUCGAAGCAACGCGAAGAACCUUACCAGGUCUUGACAUCUUUUGAUCACCUGAGAGAUCAGGUUUCCCCUUCGGGGGCAAAAUGACAGGUGGUGCAUGGUUGUCGUCAGCUCGUGUCGUGAGAUGUUGGGUUAAGUCCCGCAACGAGCGCAACCCUUAUGACUAGUUGCCAGCAUUUAGUUGGGCACUCUAGUAAGACUGCCGGUGACAAACCGGAGGAAGGUGGGGAUGACGUCAAAUCAUCAUGCCCCUUAUGACCUGGGCUACACACGUGCUACAAUGGAUGGUACAACGAGUUACGAGACCGCGAGGUCAAGCUAAUCUCUUAAAGCCAUUCUCAGUUCGGACUGUAGGCUGCAACUCGCCUACACGAAGUCGGAAUCGCUAGUAAUCGCGGAUCAGCACGCCGCGGUGAAUACGUUCCCGGGCCUUGUACACACCGCCCGUCACACCAUGAGAGUUUGUAACACCCGAAGCCGGUGGCGUAACCCUUUUAGGGAGCGAGCCGUCUAAGGUGGGACAAAUGAUUAGGGUGA